rnacentral:rRNA from 1 species
CCUACGGGAGGCAGCAGUGGGGAAUCUUGCGCAAUGGCCGAGAGGCUGACGCAGCGACGCCGCGUGGGGGAUGAAGCAUUUCGGUGUGUAAACCCCUGUUGCUCGGGACGAACGACCCUUUUCGAGGGGUGUGACGGUACCGAGUGAGGAAGCACCGGCUAACUCCGUGCCAGCAGCCGCGGUAAUACGGAGGGUGCAAGCGUUGUCCGGAAUCACUGGGCGUAAAGGGCGCGUAGGUGGUUGGAUGCGCCGGUGGUGAAAGCGCAGGGCUCAACCCUGCGUCGGCCAUCGGGACGGUCCGACUGGAGCACUGUAGAGGCAGGUGGAAUUCCGGGUGUAGCGGUGGAAUGCGUAGAGAUCCGGAAGAACACCGGUGGCGAAGGCGGCCUGCUGGGCAGUUGCUGACACUGAGGCGCGACAGCGUGGGGAGCAAACAGGAUUAGAUACCCUGGUAGUCCACGCCGUAAACGAUGGGCACUAGGUGCUUGGGGGAGCGACCCCCUGAGUGCCGACGCUAACGCAUUAAGUGCCCCGCCUCGGGGAGUACGACCGCAAGGUUGAAACGUCAAAGGAAUUGACGG